GACGAACGCUGGCGGCGCGCCUAACACAUGCAAGUCGAACGAGCGAGAGAGAGCUUGCUUUCUCGAGCGAGUGGCGAACGGGUGAGUAACGCGUGAGGAACCUGCCUCAAAGAGGGGGACAACAGUUGGAAACGACUGCUAAUACCGCAUAAGCCCACGACCCGGCAUCGGGUAGAGGGAAAAGGAGCAAUCCGCUUUGAGAUGGCCUCGCGUCCGAUUAGCUAGUUGGUGAGGUAACGGCCCACCAAGGCGACGAUCGGUAGCCGGACUGAGAGGUUGAACGACCACAUUGGGACUGAGACACGGCCCAGACUCCUACGGGAGGCAGCAGUGGGGAAUAUUGCACAAUGGGGGAAACCCUGAUGCAGCGACGCCGCGUGGAGGAAGAAGGUCUUCGGAUUGUAAACUCCUGUUGUUGAGGAAGAUAAUGACGGUACUCAACAAGGAAGUGACGGCUAACUACGU
rnacentral:rRNA from 1 species